rnacentral:miRNA from 1 species
UAUUAGGUCGGUGCAAAAGUAAUUGUGGUUUUUGCCAUUACUUUUAAGUGGCAAAAACUGCAAUUAUUUUUUGCACCAACCUAAUACAAU